CAAUAGCGUAUAUUAAAGCUGUUGCGGUUAAAAAGCUCGUAGUUGGAUUUCUGUCAAGUACAACUGGUCCGCCCUCCGGGUGAGCACAUAGUUUGGUCUUGACAUCUUGCUGGAAGCUGUUGCUGCACUUGGCUGUGUGGCGCAGUGUUCAGCACUUUCACUUUGAGGAAAUUGGAGUGUUUCAAGCAGGCACAUGCCUUUGGACACAGUAGCAUGGAAUAAUUAGAUUGGGCUUUUGCUCCAAUUUGUCGGUUUCUGGAGCUGAGGUGAGUAUUAAUGGGGAUUGUUGGGGGCAUCCGAAUUUAGCCGUCAGAGGUGAAAUUCUUGGAUCUGCUAAAGACGGACAACUGCGAAANCGNNNGCCCAGGAUGUUUUCAUNGA
rnacentral:rRNA from 1 species